GACGAAGGAUGCAAGCGUUAUCCGGAUUCAUUGGGUUUAAAGGGAGCGUAGGCGGACUUAUAAGUCAGUGGUGAAAUCUUCGAGCUUAACUCGGAAACUGCCAUUGAUACUGUAGGUCUAGAGUACAGUUGCCGUUGGCGGAAUAUGACAUGUAGUGGUGAAAUACUUAGAUAUGUCAUAGAACACCGAUUGCGAAGGCAGUUAACGAAGCUGUAACUGACGCUGAGGCUCGAAAGUGCGGGGAUCAAACAGG
rnacentral:rRNA from 1 species